AUUUUAUUAUACGAUGGGAUAGGCGUCGACGAGCUAGUCAAAUAGAUGCUUUGGAUGCUUCUUAUUAUGAACACUUGACCAUUUCAGUUCAUCUGGAUAAUGUCCACAAUAUGUUUAAAGAUCUGUUACAAGAACCAGAUGAAGCAGAACUGUUGCUGUUGUUAAGAGAACACAGAUUUCUGAAACUUGAAAGUCAAUAAGAGCUGGGUUUAGAUGCUGACAAAUAGCUGUCUUUAGAUGCUGACAAAUAGCUGUCUUUAGAUGCUGACAAUAGUGCCAAGUUUAAAUAGCUAAAAUAUGUUGAAAUAUUUAUACACAGUUCUAGAUACAUUUAUAUCUAAUGUAUUGUAUACAAACUUGAAGACAACAUAAUCUGACUGUCAACAACUGGUUAACACUCAAAGAUGUCUUUCACUUAACAUUAAUUAGUUGGGUUUUUUUUCCCUUUUCUAGUCUUGUAAUCAUAGAAUCCCAUGUGCAUUUCGUAUUCUAGAUACUAUUUAUACAAGUUAGGUUUUUCUAUGUUAUAAUUUGUACACAAGUUUAGUUGUUACUUUUACUUUUUUUUUUUGCCUCAUUUUGUAAGCUUACAUUUUGAAACAUUAUAGAUUUAUGCCCCACCUAAUCCAUUGGUGUUGCGCAAGUAAUCUAACAUUGUUUGGCAAUAAUUGAAAGAUAUAUAUGUCGUGAUGUUUUUUUUUUGAAAAUCAUAGUUACAAUCUUGCCUUUACAAUAUGCAUAUUUUUUGUAACACAUUUUUAUUUACACUAAAAAAAAAAUUGUUGCACAAAAAAAAUAAAAAAAUUUCAGGUCAGUUCAAAAGUAUGUUUCAUAGAAUAAUUGAAAUCAUUCUUUAAUGAAAUGCUUAUUAAUAUAUUAUUGUAAUGUACCAUUUAAUUUGCCUUUUAUUUGGGCCAUAUGCUAAUUUCAUGUUGUGAAUUUUUAAUGUCUUCAACUCCGAAUGAGGAUAUUUUUGACUCAAGAAUGUGCAUCAUUUUUUAGGCACGCUAAGUUAACUAAUGGAGGAGAAGGUGUCUGGACAGUUUCUUUGAUAAUGGCAUUGUCAGUUCAGAAAUAAAAUCUUUUUUUUGUUUUUAAAUGGUUACUUUGCUAAGGUGGCAAUACAAAUCUGAAAUGACAGACGCUCAAUGGAAUAAGAAGUCUCAUUGAAUGGAAGUGGCCUUACAGAUUGGUGAAAAGGUGGUUUGUUUGUUCUUUUUGUUAGCAAGCGAACAUUAUGAAUAGAAUACUUUUACCUUUCACUGUCAUCGACAUCUUUAUUUUUUAGCUGUAUAGUUUCUACUUAUAUAUGACAUGCU
rnacentral:sRNA from 1 species